CGGCGCGGUGGUUGCAAGCUCCGGCGUGGUGGUCACCGGCGAAGGUUGUCCGUUCCUGAUUUUUUUUAAAUGGGUUUUGUAGAGAAGAUGGAGGGGACUCUUUUUAUGGUGAUGGAUUUUCAAAAGCUUGUGCGUGGAUGUCAAGAUCUAGCCGAAAAGAUGGUCGUAGGGAAAUUUAAAAUCAUCUUUGAGUUGAAAUAAAUUUGAUAGAGUAUAAUUACAGAUGAAAAGGAGAGGAUGAAGAUGGUGGAGCAAUGUAACGACCGCCGGAGACACACUGAAGGAGGGAGGAGGAGGAGGCGGCGGCUAGGGUUUGUUUGAGAAUGAGAGAGUUUUCUAGAUUUCUUUGGUGAAGAGAGAGAAAAUUAACUUUGAAAUAAAUAUGAUGUGUGUGGAAUAAAGUUAAAUGACAAAAAAUAAAAUAAAAAGAAAAUUAUAAAAAUAUACUCUAGGUUUG
rnacentral:lncRNA from 1 species